rnacentral:rRNA from 1 species
UACAGAGGUCCCAAGCGUUGUUCGGAUUCACUGGGCGUAAAGGGUGCGUAGGCGGUUGGGUAAGUCUGACGUGAAAUCUCCGAGCCUAAACUCGGAAACUGCGUCGGAUACUAUUCAACUUGAGGAAUGGAGGGGAGACUGGAAUUCUCGGUGUAGCAGUGAAAUGCGUAGAUAUCGAGAGGAACACCAGUGGCGAAGGCGAGUCUCUGGACAUUUCCUGACGCUGAGGCACGAAAGCCAGGGGAGCAAACGGG